rnacentral:rRNA from 1 species
AUUGAACGCUAGCGGGAUGCUUUACACAUGCAAGUCGAACGGCAGCGCGGACUUCGGUCUGGCGGCGAGUGGCGAACGGGUGAGUAAUGUAUCGGAAUGUGCCCAGUAGCGGGGGAUAACUACGCGAAAGCGUAGCUAAUACCGCAUAAGCCCUACGGGGGAAAGCAGGGGGUCGUAAGACCUUGCACUAUUGGAGCGACCGAUAUCGGAUUUGUCAGUUGGUGAGGUAAAGGAUCACGUAGGCGACGAUCCGUAGCUGGUUUGAGAGGACGACCAGCCACACUGGGACUGAGACAGGGCCCAGACGCCUACGGGAGGCAGCAGUGGGGAAUUGUGGGGAAGGGGGGCAAACCAUAGCCAGCCAUCCCGCGUGUGCGAUGAAGGCCUUCGGGUUGGAAAGGACGUUUGGCAGGAAAGAAACGUCGCGCGCUAAUAACCCAUGGAACGUACGGGACCUGCAUAAUAAGGACCGGCUAACUUCGUG